rnacentral:rRNA from 1 species
AGUGAACGCUGGCGGUAGGCCUAACACAUGCAAGUCGAACGGCAGCACAGGAGAGCUUGCUCUCUGGGUGGCGAGUGGCGGACGGGUGAGGAAUACAUCGGAAUCUACUCUGUCGUGGGGGAUAACGUAGGGAAACUUACGCUAAUACCGCAUACGACCUACGGGUGAAAGCAGGGGACCUUCGGGCCUUGCGCGAUUGAAUGAGCCGAUGUCGGAUUAGCUAGUUGGCGGGGUAAAGGCCCACCAAGGCGACGAUCCGUAGCUGGUCUGAGAGGAUGAUCGGCCAACCUGGAACUGAGACACGGUCCAGACUCCUACGGGAGGCAGCAGUGGGGAAUAUUGGACAAUGGGCGCAAGCCUGAUCCAGCCAUACCGCGUGGGUGAAGAAGGCCUUCGGGUUGUAAAGCCCUUUUGUUGGGAAAGAAAUCCAGCUGGCUAAUACCCGGUUGGGAUGACGGUACCCAAAGAAUAAGCACCGGCUAACUUCGUGCCAGCAGCCGCCGUAA